rnacentral:rRNA from 1 species
UUUCGCAAUGCCCGAAAGGGUGACGAAGCGACGCCGCGUGGGUGAGGAAGGCCUUCGGGUUGUAAAGCCCUGUCAGGAGUUAUGAAAUGUAAGUGCGCUAAUAUCGUGCUUAUUUGACAAAGGCUCCAAAGGAAGCCACGGCUAACUCUGUGCCAGCAGCCGCGGUAAUACAGAGGUGGCGAGCGUUGUUCGGAAUUAUUGGGCGUAAAGAGCACGUAGGUGGGUUUGCAAGUCAGAUGUGAAAGCCUUCUGUUCAACGGAAGAAUUGCAUCUGAAACUGCUAAUCUUGAGUAUAGGAGGGGAGAAUGGAACUUCUGGUGGAGCGGUGAAAUGCGUAGAUAUCAGAAGGAACGCCGGCGGCGAAAGCGAUUCUCUGGCCUAUUACUGACACUCAGUGUGCGAAAGCUAGGGGAGCAAACGGGAUUAGAUACCCCGGUAGUCCUAGCCGUAAACGAUGGGCACUAAGUAGAGGGGUUUU